ensembl:lncRNA
CCAAUAAAGAAAGCAGAACGCUUGCUUGGUAAAGGAAAAUAGAAAUGACCGAACACCAUUAACUGAAAUAAAGUAAAGAUUUCAUUUGGAAUACCAACUCUACAGGUCUGAUAUCAGACAAAACUUUAGUAGGCUAGUCAUGACAGUAAAAUGCAGCAAUUCACAAUAGCCUUAAUUUGUAAUACAUACUCAGUAUAUAUAAUAAUAUACAUUGAUGGCAGGUCACUUUGACAUUCCUGACAAUACAUUAAGUACUGUACCAUGAGCAUAACCUACAAGAUGACGGCGGAUUCAUGACCAACUACAACUAGGCUCCAGAGGUGGAGUCCAGAUGUUCAAAGUAAAUGUCCCGCCAUACACCCUGUCACGGGGGGCUUUUACUUUGACACUGAACAGGGAACGUUCUCUCUGGCUAUAAAGGCUGAGUGAUCAACAUUACAGGAUGUGUCACGUUACAUUACAGACUACAGAAGGACCUCGGGGGUCUCGUUAUGACUCCGAACUGUCACGUAAAUAAAAAGAGCCGCUGAUUAAAGAACGGCUUGUGCAGAAACAGUGACAUCACUGAACAGUAGGGGGCAGUGUAUCACCACAUCAUUCAUUGCCUAAAAAGAUUUGUCGUUCGACUCCAACUUUAGAUGAUCUACUUCCUGCUUAAAAGAUGCGUUUGCUCCAUCCAAUAGUGAAAAUAGUGUGUUGACCCAUGCUAUAAAUGAUCCAGUGUGGCACAAUGCCUAACAGGCACUUGUGUAAAACAAAAAUAAAGUGAAUGAAAGGCUCCAGGGAUAUCCAGUACAUCAACGUUUCAACACACUUCCUCUAAACCUUAAUAUCUACACUGUCAAUAUGAGACAGAAUGGUUUGGCAUCGGCAGUACAUGCUUCAAGACCUCAUGAUGGACACUUUGUGAAGCUUAACCUUUCCAUGGUUAGUAUCAAACAGGUUAGGAACACAAAGCUGGAAUACAGUGUGGAAAAUCAGCACAGGACAAGUUUGUGUUGAAUAAUAAAUCGAAACAGCUCAACACUGAGCGUCCGUUGGUCGGACCAAGAAGACCCAUUCCCCAAGCGGCCUGAUGGCUCAGCUGGACAGACAUGGUCGUUUGGUGUAGGUGCUGUAGGGUUUGGUAAAACGGUAUCGUCAUGAUGAAUCAUCUUUAUCUCUGAGAGUCUUGAUGUUGUGUCACUUUGUUCGUCCAGACGUGGUUCUGUGUGGAACUCAUUUCCUUUGGGGUUUGGUUGUGGCUCAAAUGAGGUUGAUGGAAUGGAUGAAACAUGAAGGAAACACUAGAAAACAUGAACUUUUUCUUGUAUAUUUCCAAACCAACUCAAGGUGCCCUUACUGACUUAAGUCCCUCAACUUCUCACCUCCAAAGCAGAGGCCUCACUUGAACUAAGUGCAGUAUGAUUGACAUUUGAAAUACUUUCAAGGACAUGUUUUCCUCUAACAGUGGCUUGAGCGGGUUCGCCAGCUGAGCCAGUUCCAGAAGAUCAUCUCAGGCCAUGCUGGGGCCAGGAAUAAGAUGUGUCAUGACUGCACAAAUGCAAAGCUCUCUGCAACCACAAAGUGGAUUGCAGUGCCCCGGCCCUGAUUGCUUUCUCUCAUACUGCUUCUGCUACAGGGUUACGCACUUACAACAGGAUACAGCUUCCAACCCACCACUGGGAGACCAGUAUAUAAAUACAUACUGGGACAAAGAAAAGAGACAAAAGGUCUAAACACUGCCAAAUCUGCUUCUUAAUUAUACAUGUCACAUGGUCUAUAGUUCUGUUGCCGUAGAUUCUGAUUAUUCCGUAACUGUACACUGAGCGAGAUCAAUUACAAUCGCAAUGACGGAAAUUGUUAAAGCAAGAAAAUCAACGACGUUACUCUCUUUUAUGUGGCUCAAAGCCCUUCUGUGAUCCAAACUCCUUUAUCCAGAAUAUACCGUAUAAUCCAAACUCCUUUAUCCAGAAUAUACUGUAUAAUCCAAACUCCUUUAUCCAGAAUAUAUUAUUAAAAUAAAAGACACUAUUUAUUCUUAGCAUUUACCAAUAAACAUGAAUUCAAAGAAAGUUAAAUGAACAUGUCCUAAUCUUGGCUCCUUAGAUCCUGAUUCCUGCCCACUGGACCCUUCUAGAAUGCAGUCACGAGGACCAAGGAUAUUAUUGAUAUCAUGUUAAAUCAAAACACCUGAAAGAAAAGUGACAUGGUGUGCGAUCAGAAGGCAUGUGUAAAGCUGACAGAUUUUGCGAUGUUACACACACGACAAUAUGGUCUAUAGAGAUAUAUAGAGGGACUAAGACGGUACGCUACUCACACAAUAUAGAGACACACGAUACAUUCAUAUAUGUCAACACAUAAAUAUGUAUAUAUACACGUAUAUAUUCAUAUGUCUACAGAUAUCCAAGGAGGACUAAAUAGUGCCGUUAAUGAUGUGUGUCUGACGUGUCUCGCGGAUUAACGCUCAUGCUGUGGCGCCACCUGUAGCUCAUAUAUAGACGUACAAGCAUAUAUACUGUACAUCUAUACACUGUACAUAUAUAGAUGUACUAUAUAUGCACAGUAUAUAUGUACAGUAUAUAGAUGGUCAAUAUAUAUGUACAGUAUAUAGAUGUACAGUAUAUAGAUGUACAGUAUAGAUGUACAGUACAUAUAGAUGUACAGUAUAUAUGUACAGUAUAUAGAUACACAGUAUAUAAACGUACAGUACAUAUAGAUGUACAGUAUAUAUAUGUACAGAAUAAAAAUGUACAGUAUAUAAAUAUACAGUAUAUAUUUGUGCAGUACAUAUAUGUACGGUAUAUAGAUAUACAGUAUAUAGAUGUACAUAUGUACGGUAUAUGUGGCGUUCCAAGUGGGAAUGUGUGCAAAGGAAGUGUUUCCAUGGCGCCCAGUCAAACCCAACUCCCUUUGUGACCCAACUUAUGGCUACCUAACAUAUGCAAGUUGAGAUAUGAUAUACUUAUACCAACUAUAAGCUAAAUCAAAUACAUGUUUAAUGUAUACAUGAAAAGGGGACACAUUAAAGCACAACGGCUCCUCACUUCUGAUAACCGUGGGUUAUGAGACUUCUCUUUCCAGUCAGAACCCUUCCUAUUCGUCCACUCCCAAUGCUUCUCUGGAUCACAAUCGUUACUAAAGUACACCAGUCGUGGUAAGACGUGUCUGAUACGACACACACUCAAGAGGAGUAGGUCGACGGGAGAACCGCUGUAAUCUGAACUGGAUGCCUUAUUGUAAUCUGCACAUUCCUCUGUCCCCAUCCUGUAAAUGAUGACUUUAACCAUGUCUUCUCUCCUGAAACAUUCAUUGGAUUCUGAAUAUCGUUUCCGAAUAUAUUCAGAGUGUCAGCAUGUCCCCCGGGGUCGCUAGAGCGGGGGAACUGGUCAAGCGCUGUCCCUGGAUUUAGAUGAACCUUCAACAUUACUCGGUUCCCUAGCAAGUAAUCAAGAGCACAUGCCUUUAAGUCACUGCAAAUUGGCCUUUUGAACGGGUUUAAAGUCCAAACCAUCAUCACAAACAUAUGUUGAAAAAUAUGUCUGAUAUGUUGGUCAGUGGUGAUGCCUUUAUAGUGGAGCAUUACACCACCCGUAUCUCUAGAGAUGACAUGGUGCUGCCUUUAUAGUGGAGCAUUACACCACCCGUAUCUCUAGAGAUGACAUGGUGCUGCCUUUAUAGUGGAGCAUUACACCACCCGUAUCUCUAGAGAUGACAUGGUGCUGCCUUUAUAGUGGAGCAUUACACCACCCGUAUCUCUAGAGAUGACAUGGUGCUGCUUUUAUAGUGGAGCAUUACACCACCCGUAUCUAUAGAGAUGACAUGGUGCUGCCUUUAUAGUGGAGCAUUACACCACCCGUAUCUCUAGAGAUGACAUGGUGGUGCCUUUAUAGUGGAGCAUUACACCACCCGUAUCUCUAGAGAUGACAUGGUGCUGCCUUUAUAGUGGAGCAUUACACCACCCGUAUCUUUAGAGAUUACAUGGUUCUGCCUUUAUAGUGGAGCAUUACACCACCCGUAUCUAUAGAGAUUACAUGGUGCUGCCUUUAUAGUGCAGCAUUACUCCACCCGGGCCGCAUCUAAAGAGAUGACAUGGUGCUGCCAUUAAAGUGGAGUAAUGCACCACCCAUGGUGGUGCAUUACUCCACCCGUAUCUCUAGAGAUGACCUGGUGGUGCUGGGGAAGGGGGUAUUGACAUAUACUGCACUAAUACAAACAGAACAAGGCCUUGACAGGGGAUACCGCUGGCGUGUCUCACUACAGUAGGACACACACACCCGGGUCUAGAGUGUGUGGGAUGGCCUCAGAGGGGGGGGGGGGGGGGUCGCGGCUCCUGGCCGUGAGUCUGGCAGUGGCCAUAACUCUGGGUUAUGAGUGUGUGUUCCCAAGAUGGAUGACAUCGCUCUGCGCUGGCUGCAGAGACAAGGCGACAACCCAGGGUGGCAAUGAAGAUGCUGUAUUGUACUGUGUGUGUGUGUGUGUGUGUGUGUGUGUCUGUGUGUGUAUGUGUGUUUGUGUGCACUAGUGUACUGAGCUUGUGCACAGGGGGAUUAGGAGUGUGCACGUGUGGUCAAUUGUACGCGCACACUCCUUUUAUCCUACGAGUGGAUCAAUGAAAAGGGCCACUCAGAGUGCAAAGAUUGAUUUCAGGCCGGUUGUCAAACUAAGUUCUCCGAUGGAAUGUCUCCGUGCUCCUCUGGUCUCCGACUCCAUCUGUCUGGAGUCGGAGUCUCCGUGAAGAGGUCCCACAUGGACAUUUAUCCUGCAGUUUGGUCUUUGCUUUCAUACAAAACGUGAAGUACUUAAAAGCGACGGCAGGUCUUUUUGCGUACAAAAGCCUUAGAGGACGUUAACUACGGCCCAUUUCCUCUGAACUUUCGGGGAUCAAUUCGCCGUUGGCCGUGCGGCAGAGGGGCGUCGCCGGGGUUGUGCUGUAAUCUGGGGUUUGGCCUCGUGUUGAGGGGGUGGAGCGGACUGAGCCUCACCCCCUCACACUCAGGGAAUGUGGUGGAGAUCUCAGGUCACAAAUGACAUGUUGGAUUGGAACCAG